AUUUCAGGGUUUAUCCAUUUGUAUUCACAUUGAUUCAUGUCUGAUUGACACUAUGGAAUGAUUAUUUUUCUUGAAUUUUUGUUGUCUCUUGGCAGAACUCUCUUUUUCUACCAAAACUCAAAAGAAGAAAACUUGUUAUACAAAAAAGUGUAGCAGUUCAUCCCUGUGGGUUGUGAAACAGGGUGAUUGGGAUUCAUGUGAGCUGUAACUCCCAAGAUAAUUAAUGUUCCCGCCACAAGCCCGCCUCUAGAGCACUAUUUACAAUAGCCAGGACAUGGAAGCAACCUAAAUGUCCAUCAACAGAUGAAUGGAUAAAGAAAAUGGGGUUCCCAUACACGACGGAAUAUUACUCAGCCAUAAAAAUGAAUGAAAUUGUGCAAUUUGCAGAGACGUGGAUGGACCUAGAGACUGUCACACAGAGUGAAAAACCACAAUAAAGGCUCUUGCCCAUGUUCCCUCUCUCUCCUGCCUCCUGACUGACUGACCCCGGUGCUUCCUGGAGUGACCCUGCAUGGUGUGCCCCCUCCUCUUGGGACUUAAUCUAGAUGUAAUGGCUGGAACUCAAGCAGCUGUCUGGGAGUUUAAGCAGCUCAAGCCCUGUGCAGAGGAGAGUGAAAGACAAUGGAAGGAACCUACACCGUGGAGCACUACACCAGCCUGGAUAGCUGACUAGGGGUCUUCAUUUAUGUGAGAGAGGAAUGUACUUCUAUCCUGUUUAACCCACUGUUAUUUUGGGGUCUCUGUCAUUCAUAGCAAAGCAUAAUCGUAAGUGUCAUAGUAGCCAAUAAACCUUGGGUUUAUUCCCUUCAGUGGCCUCUAAACCAUUUUUUGCCUUCAGCUUCCCCCAAACUCUCAGCCUGAUGAAACCAGGGAAGUUCAAUUGGUGUUACAGAUCUGUUUUAAAGAGACUUCCCUGGCCCACUGAAUGGAAUGAGCUCCAGAUGGGAAUGCCUAGGCUUAGGUGCAACCAUUUCAGAAAACAGGCAUCACCUGGUAACGU